rnacentral:rRNA from 1 species
CAGUUAACACAAUAAGUAAUCCACCUGGGGAGUACGGCCGCAAGGUUGAAACUCAAAGGAAUUGACGGGGGCCCGCACAAGCAGUGGAGUAUGUGGUUUAAUUCGAAGCAACGCGAAGAACCUUACCAGGUCUUGACAUCGGAUGCAUAGCCUAGAGAUAGGUGAAGCCCUUCGGGGCAUCCAGACAGGUGGUGCAUGGUUGUCGUCAGCUCGUGUCGUGAGAUGUUGGGUUAAGUCCCGCAACGAGCGCAACCCUUAUCUUCAGUAGCCAUCAUUCAGUUGGGCACUCUGGAGAGACUGCCGUGGAUAACACGGAGGAAGGUGGGGAUGACGUCAAAUCAUCAUGCCCCUUAUGUCUUGGGCUACACACGUGCUACAAUGGCUGGUAACAAAGUGACGCGAAACGGCGACGUUAAGCAAAUCACAAAAACCCAGUCCCAGUUCGGAUUGUAGUCUGCAACUCGACUACAUGAAGCUGGAAUCGCUAGUAAUCGCGAAUCAGCAUGUCGCGGUGAAUACGUUCCCGGGCCUUGUACACACCGCCCGUCACACCAUGGGAGUUGGAAGCACCCGAAGUCGGUGACCUAACCGUAAGGAAGGAGCCGCCGAAGGUGAAGCCAGUGACUGGGGUGAAGUCGUAACAAGGUAACC